rnacentral:rRNA from 1 species
AGGCACGCUGGCGCUAGGUGAAGUGGUUUACCCAUGGAGCUGAAGCCAGUCGCAGAUACCAGCUGGCUGCAACUGUUUAUUAAAAACACAGCACUGUGCAAACACGAAAGUGGACGUAUACGGUGUGACGCCUGCCCGGUGCUGGAAGGUUAAUUGAUGGGGUUAUCCGUAAGGAGAAGCUCUUGAUCGAAGCCCCAGUAAACGGCGGCCGUAACUAUAACGGUCCUAAGGUAGCGAAAUUCCUUGUCGGGUAA